rnacentral:rRNA from 1 species
UACGUAGGGAGCAAGCGUUGUCCGGAAUCAUUGGGCGUAAAGCGCGCGUAGGUGGCCAUGUAAGUCCGCUGUGAAAGUCAAAGGCUCAACCUUUGAAAGCCGGUGGAUACUGCAUGGCUAGAGUCCGGAAGAGGAGAGUGGAAUUCCUGGUGUAGCGGUGAAAUGCGCAGAUAUCAGGAAGAACACCAAUGGCGAAAGCAGCUCUCUGGGACGGUACUGACGCUGAGACGCGAAAGCGUGGGGAGCGAACAGG